GCAUGGGAUCACACUGAUGGCAGGCCCGUCCCCCGGGGUCUGUCACUGUGCCCCAUGCCAGAGCACGCCGUGGCCUGGAAACAUGAGCUGGCCUCUGACCGUAGGCCGCAGGCCCUGAGACAGGCCGCACAGCG